rnacentral:tRNA from 1 species
UGAUAGCUCAGUUGGAUAGAGCAACUGCCUUCUAAGCAGUCGGUCGGGGGUUCGAAUCCCCCUC